AUUGAACGCUGGCGGCAGGCCUAACACAUGCAAGUCGAGCGAGCGGCGGACGGGUGAGUAAUGUAUGGGGAUCUGCCCGUUAGAGGGGGAUAACUACUGGAAACGGUAGCUAAUAUCGCAUACUAUCGGAUGAAUCCAUAUGGGAUUAGCUAGUUGGUGAGGGAAUGGCUCACCAAGGCGACGAUCACUAGCUGGUCUGAGAGGAUGAUCAGCCACAAUGGGACUGAGACACGGUCCAGACUCAUACGGGAGGCAGCAGUGGGGAAUAUUGCACAAUGGGCGCAAGCCUGAUGCAGCCAUGCCGCGUGUGUGAAGAAGGCCUUCGGGUUGUAAAGCACUUUCAGCGAGGAGGCGUUACUCGCAGAAGAAGCACCGGCUAACUCCGUGCCAGCAGCCGCGGUAAUUC
rnacentral:rRNA from 1 species